AACACGAUUAUCUAUACGAAUAAAACGCACAGAUUAUAUGCAUUUACGGAGAUGACAGUAUAAUAUUGUUAUGUUUUUACGUAUUUCAACAUUGAAAUGAGCAUUGUUUUCAUAAUUUGGGUAAACAAAAUAAGUACAGUUUUACUGCUGUGAUUCAGCUUCAGCAUGUUGAACUUUCCUGAUAUUUAAACUCAAAAAUAU